UAUUGAGGCUAUAAGAAAUAAAAAAUUGUGCCCUUUUUAUCAUUUCUAUACUCAUGUGACAUGAUACAACAAAUCUGAGCACAAAAAGGCUCUUGCAAUUAACUUUUCUUACAGACAGUAUGGUCUGAUACAAAGAUUUUUGCCUUUUUAAUGAAAAACUUGAAUGCAAUUUUAGUCUCAACAGGCUUAUAUUUAAACCACUUGCUAUCCUACAGAAGAAAAGAAAGAUAUUAUGUGAAAUGGAACAGGUACAUUAGACAUUGUAAAGUGCUUUUGAUACAAAUUUAGUGAGGUCUUUAUUAUAGACUUCAAAUUUUAUGUACCAAGAACCCCACUUUUGACUUCAUCCAAACAGGGCGUUAGACAAGGGUCAUUUAUACAACACAUUUUGUACAUAUUAUCUGAAAUAUCCUUCUUUUCUGUAGAUUCUGAGUUCAUAAACAAGUAAAAGUACUAGAUAAAGGCAUAUAAACACAAGUAUUGACACAUGAAAACCUGUCAGAUAGAAAGUCAGGAUGCCAUGUAUGCAUCAAUAUUGAAAAAACCUUGAAAUGCCUAUUUUGACCAUAAAAUGCCAAAGUUGGUAAUUUUUGCAGAAAUUCUAUAAAAUAAAAGUUUAAAUCCUUUAGUUUCAUGCUAUUUGACAAAGUGACACCACCAAAUCAUUUAGGGAAGUUGCCAAAGUACAGAUUCUAUAUUUACAGACUUCACCUCUUAGGUCCGAGAACACAAUUAAUUCGUAGUGCAUUUCUUUUAGAACAUAAAUGAAAAUAAAAAAAAUCCCACCUGCGCUUUCCCAAUGAAAACUUUUACAGUGUGUGUUGUACUACUUUUGGGACAAAUUAUAUCAAAAUUAUAGAAAACUUCAUCGCCUCUAACUCAAAAUGGACAAUUUGUGUGUUUAGGUGUUCUUGAAAUCUUUUGACAGCUUCCGAAGUGCUAAUUUUUAACCUUUUUCAGCUAGACCAAAUCACUACUUUCCUGUAAAAUUCUGGACCCAAAUUUUUUUACAGUGUAAUUUCACCCCCCUACUUACAAUUUGAGGCAUUAAACUCGGAGAAAUAAAUUUGGAAGGGGUAUAAAAAUUAUUGGCAAGUAGCCCACUGUUAACACUAGGGACUAUAUUCGUGAACAACGAAAAUCAAGGGACG
rnacentral:lncRNA from 1 species